AGCUUGCUCUUUCCGGAAUUGAGUGGCAAACGGGUGAGUAACACGUAAACAACCUGCCUUCAGGAUGGGGACAACAGACGGAAACGACUGCUAAUACCGAAUAAGUUCCAAGGGCCGCAUGGCCCAUGGAAGAAAAGGUGGCCUCUACCUGUAAGCUAUCGCCUGAAGAGGGGUUUGCGUCUGAUUAGCUGGUUGGCAGGGUAACGGCCUACCAAGGCAACGAUCAGUAGCCGGUCUGAGAGGAUGAACGGCCACAUUGGGACUGAGACACGGCCCAGACUCC
rnacentral:rRNA from 1 species